rnacentral:tRNA from 1 species
GGGGGUAUAGCUCAGUGGUAGAGCAUGUGCUUGGAAUGCAUGAGGUCCUAGGUUCAAUCCCCACUACCUCUG